rnacentral:rRNA from 1 species
AGAGGGUGCAAACGUUGCUCGGAAUCACUGGGCAUAAAGCGCACGUAGGCUGUCUCGUAAGUGUGGAGUGAAAUCCCACGGCUCAACCGUGGAACUGCUUGGCAUACUGCGAGACUCGAGGACGGUAGGGGAGAGCGGAACUCCUGGUGGAGCGGUGAAAUGCGUAGAUAUCAGGAGGAACACCGGUGGCGAAGGCGGCUCUCUGGUCCGUUUCUGACGCUGAUGUGCGAAAGCUAGGGUAGCGAACGGGAUUAGAUACCCCGGUAGUCUUAGCCGUAAACGAUGGGCACUAACUAGAGGUCCAUUCCUGUGGUAUCUCUGGUGAAGCUAAUGUGCUAAGUGCCCCGCCUGGGGAGUAUGGUCGCAAGGCUA